GUACGAAGGGGAGCUAGCGUUGCUCGGAAUCACUGGGCGUAAAGCGCACGUAGGCGGAUUGCUAAGUCAGGGGUGAAAUCCUGGAGCUCAACUCCAGAACUGCCUUUGAUACUGGUGAUCUUGAGUCCGGGAGAGGUGAGUGGAACUGCGAAGUGUAGAGGUGAAAUUCGAUAGAUAUCGGGAGGAACACCUGUGGCGAAAGCGGCUCACUGGACCACAACUGACGCUGAG
rnacentral:rRNA from 1 species